AUGAGAAUGCCCUGGGCAUUGCGGUGCCUUCAGCAGAAGCCAUGGCUCCACCUGCUCCCGAGCUCUGGACAGAGAAGGAGCCACAGGAUGGCACAGACAGAGCCGAGACACCCCUGGGGCCAAGUUUUGGCUCUUUCAGGUCACUCGGUCGGGGACGCGUGCUCCUGGGCGGUCAGCAGGCUGCCUGGUUGUGGAAGCAGGGCUGCGUUUCCCAUCCCCUGCUCCUGCCUCUGGGUCUCCCCGGCUGGCGUCGGAGCAGCCGUGCUGCCUGGUGGGGAGCAGACUUUGCCGGGAGAGGGUGUUACGCAGCCGUGGGCGUGCGUGUCCCUCGGGGGACGGCGCCUGCAUCCCACGGGCAGCACAGACACGUGUCCCACGUGCAGGCUGUGUGCGUGCGCAUCCCUCGGGGACCCCGGCUGCCUGCAUCCCGCUGGGAAACUGUGUGUGUAUGCGUCCCUUGGGGACCCCGGGCACGUGUGCCACCGCGGGAGCAGCUCCGUGUCCCCGUGCCUGCGCCGUUCCCCCCCAGGCGAGCGCCUUCGGGUGAGCGGUGGGCGAGGAGGCGUGCAGCUGGGGCGCCGUGCGCGUCUCCUGUCGACAAACAGAGAGACGCCGUCUCCCGAGGCUGGCGGUUCGGCGCCGCAUUUGUACGCACGUGUGGAAAACAGAGUGUGCGUGGGUGGGCAGGCCGCUAAAUAUAGACCUGGCUACCUGGGCUGCUCGCACGCCUGCUCCGAGGACAGCUCCAGCGCAGGUUGUAAAGAGAUUAUAAACCAGUAUACAUUAAGCCUCUCUGCUAGAAAUGCCGGCAGCCCCAGGCGGAAAACAUCACACUCAAAGCUCCUCCUCAUCCCUUUUUUUGUUUUAUUUUAUUCCUUUUCAGUGAUGUUGCCUUUAUCUGCUAUCAGCUCAAGAGCUGUACCGAGCCGCAGAGCACCAAAAGGGCUCCCGGAGGGGCAGGAUGGGACAGGGGACCUUACGAUGCUGUUUGCCACCUCCCAAAGCCAGCGUUGGUCAAGGCUGGGGACAGCCACCUCCAUGGCAGGAGCUGGGAGCUGCUCAAGGAAAAGCCAUCCCUGCAGCCCUGAUCCAAGAUGGGACACGUGGGCAGUGGUCCUUAUUUAUGGUCCCACACAGGGAGGGUUGGCUCUGCCAAAAGCAGGUUCUCCUUUUGAGGGAAGGUGGUGA
rnacentral:lncRNA from 1 species